AGGGUGUAAACGCUGCGGGCUUGGUGUUGGGGGUCCUUAGUGGGCGCCCAGUGCCGGAGAGAAGUUGUUAAGCCUGCUGCUUGGGGAGUAUGUCCGCAAGGAUGAAACUUAAAGGAAUUGGCGGGGGAGCACCGCAACGGGAGGAGCGUGCGGUUCAAUUGGAUUCAACGCCGAAAAACUCACCAGGAGCGACGGAUAUAUGAAGGUCAAGCUGAUGACUUUACCUGAUUUCCGUAGAGGUGGUGCAUGGCGUAGUCGUGU
rnacentral:rRNA from 1 species